GCGAGUGAAGCGGGAAGAGCUCAGACUGAAAACCUUCGGGGAUGUAGUCUGGAGAUGGGAUAUCGAAUCUCAGGAAGCCGAUAAAGUGGUCUGGAAAGACACGCCGUGGA
rnacentral:rRNA from 1 species